rnacentral:ncRNA from 1 species
GUACCGAAAAGGUGAACCCGCCGCGAGGCGGAGGCGCAAAGCCACGGGCCUGCCCCGCGCAGGCGGCCGGGCUGCCGAA